CGCGUUCAUUACUAUUUUUUUGUUUUUGUUUUAAUAUUGACAAUUAAAUUACUAGGAUUAACUAUGUUUAAAACAAAUUUUUUGCUCAAAAAUGCUAAAUAUUUCAGAUAUGUCUCAUUUAUAGUUUCUUGCCGUCGUAUUUUAUGUAUUGGAGUUAUUUCGUUUUGGAGCAAGCUCGCAGAAUGUUCUGACUCGGUGUCAAAGCACAAGUUGCCUAAGGGACCUUCUGGCAAUUCCACCCACUGAGAUAAAACGUCGACGUUGUCCAAGCAUUAAGUAAAAUGGCAUACGUUAUAACAUACAAAAGUCAUUUAAAAGCAUACAUUUUUUAUAUUCUAAAGGCUGUAGCAGGCUCACAAUGAGAUGUACCUCACCUAAAAGGUUUUUUUUUUCUUAACAUUUGUAGUAAGUUCCUAGUGGCCAGACUGAUGUACUACAUGUGAGAUUUUUCUAAUACCUCCCUUUAUACAGAUACAAUUCUCAAUUAUUUUAAUAGCUCAGGCAUCUCAUUGUGCACCUGCUACAGCAUUUAGAAUGUAACGUGUGUUUUCAAAUGACUUUUGUAUGUUAAUAGUUAUAAGUCAUUUAAAUGCAUGGACAACGUCGACAUUUUGGGCCAGAUCUAGGCAUGGGCAGGGGUGAUCUGAGCCCACCCAAACGUCUGUCUUGCCCACUCAAUCAGAACAUAGGCAAAGACAACAUUAAUCUUUUAUUUUUAAGAUUUGUGUAUUAGUUAAAUGCAAUCUGAUGCCAGCUGUGUGUUGAGAAGUUUGAGGAAGGGCUGUAGACUACCACAACCAAGUACAAAAUAACGCCAGAAAAUUGCAGUAUUUUUCUAUAUUUUUCGGUAUUUCCGGGCCUGUUCACGUUUUAACUCAGUGGGUGGAAUUGCCAGACAGUCCCUAAGGGAAAGUGCUAUACGGGUCAGACCAUUCUUAGGUGCAGCUCUACUAUGCGCUGGUAUUUUGACUGUCGCCUCAAUACAACAAGGACAGGGGAAAGUGAAUAUCCAGCGAAUAUUGAACCUAAAACUAACUUUAUCGCGGUGCGAAGAUGGAGAGGAAGCGGCCAGGUGGAGCAGAGAGGGAAAGGGCAUGCAAAAGGAAAACUCUCCAAGAAGAAACAGCGAAAUUUUGCAAAAUUACUGACCAGUUCAGGGCUUCGAGUGCAGUUCAGUCUCAUCUGUAAAUACUGUAGCUUUGUGUUCGCUAACUUAGCUAAUCAAGUAUUAACCACAGUUUCACUGCUAGCAAGCGUUAGCACUAUUACUAUCACCACUCAAAAUAUGAUAAAGGGCAAUGUUAUCUACUGUAUAGUUAUAAUAAGUUAAAAAAAAUAAAUAAUAAUAAUUUAAAAAAGUAAUUCAGCAAACAAAUAUCCAAAUGUACGUACAGUAGGCUACAUUUAGGGAGCCCUCCAUGUUGUUAUUUUAAAUGUUGAAAUUACAAAUACAGCUAGGGCAAACAACAGCAGCAACAAUAAUGACAAAAACAAACACUUUUCCAAGCUAGGAGUCAUAAAAGGUAAUAUCAUGUUCAAUAUUAGGAUUUUUCUAAAUAGAUAUUGUCAUGAUGUAGUCAGUAUUGUAAUAACAGGUAUUUAGGUAAUUUAGAAAAUUAUGUCUGCCCAUAUGUGAGGUUCAAAAACAAACAAACAUUUUUUGUCCUAUUUUUCACAAUAAGGUGGAGAGAGUUAACCUGGCAGUAACUCUGUGCAGUGCUCACACUUCAGUAUCAACCUGAGAUGACAGGUAGAGGUCAAAUAAGAGAUAUUAAAUGUGCUUUAAUAUAUUUGUAUAAAAUAUAGUGUGGUUAAAUCUCAGGUGUUUUAAGUACUUUUAAGUCUAAAAAAAAUUGCCCUAAUGUGGUACUUUAAUUUUAACUAAAAUAAGUUUAGAUUCUGUGCUCACAAAUUACAGUGAGGU
ensembl:lncRNA